rnacentral:rRNA from 1 species
AUUGAACGCUGGCGGCAUGCCUAACACAUGCAAGUCGGGCGAGCGGCGGACGGGCGAGUAAUGUAUGGGGACCUGCCUGAUGGACGGGGAUAACUACUGGAAACGGUAGCUAAUACCGCGUAUCCUAGUAUCAGCCCAAGGGGGAGUAGGUAGUUGGUGAGGUAAAGGCUCAACAAGCCGACGAUCUCUAGCUGGUCUAAGAGGAUGAUCGGCCACACUGGGAAUGAGACACGGCCCAGACUCCUACGGGAGGCAGCAGUGGGGAAUAUUGCACAAUGGGCGCAAGCCUGAUACAGCCAUGCCGCGUGAAUGAAGAAGGCCUUCGGGUUGUAAAGUACUUUCAGUCGAGAGGCGGUACCGACAGAAGAAGCACCGGCUAACUCCGUGCCAGCAGCCGCGGUAAUUC